rnacentral:rRNA from 1 species
GACGAACGCUGGCGGCGUGCUUAACACAUGCAAGUCGAACGGAAAGGCCCGCUUGCGGGUACUCGAGUGGCGAACGGGUGAGUAACACGUGGGCAACCUGCCCUCAGCUCUGGGAUAACUCCGGGAAACCGGUGCUAAUACUGGAUAGGACUUCGCAUCGCAUGGUGUGGGGUGGAAAGUUUUUCGGCUGAGGAUGGGCCCGCGGCCUAUCAGCUUGUUGGUGGGGUAAUGGCCUACCAAGGCGACGACGGGUAGCCGGCCUGAGAGGGCGACCGGCCACACUGGGACUGAGACACGGCCCAGACUCCUACGGGAGGCAGCAGUGGGGAAUAUUGCGCAAUGGGCGAAAGCCUGACGCAGCGACGCCGCGUGAGGGAUGACGGCCUUCGGGUUGUAAACCUCUUUCAGCUCUGACGAAGCGAAAGUGACGGUAGGAGCAGAAGAAGCACCGGCCAACUACGUGCCAGCCGCCGCAGUAACAC